AUUGAACGCUGGCGGCAGGCCUAACACAUGCAAGUCGAGCGAGCGGCGGACGGGUGAGUAAUGUAUGGGGAUCUGCCCGAUAGAGGGGGAUAACUACUGGAAACGGUGGCUAAUACCGCAUACUAUCGGAUGAACCCAUAUGGGAUUAGCUAGUAGGUGGGGUAAAGGCUCACCUAGGCGACGAUCUCUAGCUGGUCUGAGAGGAUGAUCUGCCACACUGGGACUGGGACACGGCCCAGCCUCCUACGGGGGGCGGCGGUGGGGAAUAUUGCACAAGGGGGGCAAGCCUGAUGCAGCCAUGCCGGGUGUGUGAAGAAGGCCUUCGGGUUGUAAAGCACUUUCAGCGAGGAGGCGUUACUCGCAGAAGAGGCACGGGCUAACUCCGUGCCAGCAGCCGCGUAAUAC
rnacentral:rRNA from 1 species